rnacentral:rRNA from 1 species
CUCAAAGGAAUUGACGGGGACCCGCACAAGCGGUGGAUGAUGUGGUUUAAUUCGAUGCAACGCGAAAAACCUUACCUACCCUUGACAUGCCAGGAACUUGCCAGAGAUGGCUCGGUGCUCGAAAGAGAACCUGGACACAGGUGCUGCAUGGCCGUCGUCAGCUCGUGUCGUGAGAUGUUGGGUUAAGUCCCGCAACGAGCGCAACCCUUAUCAUUAGUUGCUACGCAAGGGCACUCUAAUGAGACUGCCGGUGACAAACCGGAGGAAGGUGGGGAUGACGUCAGGUCAUCAUGGCCCUUAUGGGUAGGGCUACACACGUCAUACAAUGGCCGGUACAGAGGGCUGCCAACCCGCGAGGGGGAGCUAAUCUCAGAAAACCGGUCGUAGUCCGGAUCGCAGUCUGCAACUCGACUGCGUGAAGUCGGAAUCGCUAGUAAUCGCGGAUCAGCUUGCCGCGGUGAAUACGUUCCCGGGUCUUGUACACACCGCCCGUCACACCA